UACGUAGGUGACCAGCGUUGUCCGGAUUUACUGGGCGUAAAGAGCGCGCAGGCGGUCGUUCAAGUCGAGUGUGAAAGCCCCCGGCUCAACUGGGGAGGGUCACUCGAUACUGAUCGACUUGAAGGCAGGAGAGGGAAGCGGAAUUCCCGGUGUAGUGGUGAAAUGCGUGGAUAUCGGGAGGAACACCAGUGGCGAAGGCGGCUUCCUGGCCUGUUCUUGACGCUGAGGCGCGAAAGCUAGGGGAGCAAACGGG
rnacentral:rRNA from 1 species